CCUGCUGGGAGGGGGCGGCGCAGCACCAACUGCUGGGUACCCCCCUCUGGUCCCCACUCCCUGCACCCCACGGCUCCGGGGGCGGCCCCUCCAGGCUAACGGGGAGCCGGGGAAGAAGGGCGGGGGAGAAAUGGAGCGAUCCUGCUGACCGCCCUGACUCCGGCUAGAGAACAAGCGUCCAGCAGCACCAUUUUCUAUACAAAGGAUACUUAAGACAGACUAGUGGAAGUAGGGGCAGGAGCCCGGCAAAGCCGCAGUUGGAGCCGAGAGACUGUGCCUUCAUAUAUCACACUCAACUGUGAGCCGGUUGCCUUUGCAUUGAAACACCCCUUAUCAAGCAGCCUGCCAUCUGACUGUGAUCUGCCUUCCCACGUACACUGUCUAGAGAGAGAAUGCACAGGUCUUGCGGAUGGAUGAGAAUGACUACUAUGCAUCAUGUGCCGGUUAUUUUACAUCAAAUUCCAUCAUCUUUGUGUUGUCCACAGCAGCUUGCACCUAUAUUGCUUGACCAGCUACCCACUUGCAGUGGACAGAAACUGCAGCGGAAUUUCUUUCAUUGGAGCCUGGGAAUUACAGCCUAAUGUGUAUAGCUGAACUUUGCUGAAGCACUGAGCUCUGAUUAAUGCAGUAAAAUGAAUAAAAAGAUUGAACAGUUUUUAUCUCAUCAUUACUGAAACUUAGCUGAAUGUCAGUUUCUUUGGAUAAAAUACGAAAAACAAGAAUUCUUCUUAGUUGCCAAAACGCAGCUGGUCUCAACUAUUCCUUUUGGAUUUCCUGUUACACAAAGUGAAGAAUCGUGAUUCAUUUUACUUUUACGCAAAAAAAAAAAAAAACAACACUUGAAUCUUUCAAUUAAUUUUCCUUUCUUGACUAACUUCUAAAUAAAGUGAAACCACAGAUGUAGUCCGGCACACUAUUGAUCCUAUUGUGGUUAUCUUUUCUGACAGGCUAGAUAGUGAAGGAAAAGUGUUUGGAACAUCCAAGGGUCUCCUUUUAAGGAAAAAAUAGUGUACACAAAAUUGACAGUGAAAAUGAAAUAUUGUUGCUGGAUUCCUUCCACUGUGAAUAUUGUUAUUAUUAGGCUCCAUCUUCCCUAGAUCUGUUAAUGGAGCUCAAAGCACUAAAGGAGCUUCUCCUUCAGACUGAACAUAAUCAUGUCAUACCAAAGAAUCCUUCAAAAAUUUCCAUCUUGUCAACUGAUAGGUUUUCAAAUUUGAUGUCUUUUCAGACCCACUAUUCAGAGUUCUUGUGGUGAAUCCAGUAAAUCUGAGUUUUACUACAAGUCCAGUGCUGGUGAUCUAGUUUGUACAAUUAGCCAUCUACCUCACUUAUGUGAGUGGCACUUGAGUACCCACCACUAGGACCAGUGUUCAGGCUCUGAUACUCAGUUCGAGCACUGGCAUCCUGCCUAGUUUCCACCGGUCCAUUUCCCUGGUGCCCUAGGCUCAGUAUCAAUGAAAUACUACCUGCUUGGCUAAGGGUCAUGUUCCCAACAGGACAUCUUUCUUAGAAAAGUCCUAUAAAUAUGAAAAUAACAUGACUCUAGCUUCACAUUUUAUGUUUUGCAUUCUUGGACCAUUUAUUCUAUGGAAGAUGCUGAAGUAGGUAGGCUAUGUUUGUUGGUAAGCCUCUUGCAGUUCAUCACAAUAAGUGAUGAUAUGUUAUUCAAAGAUGGUUAUUAUUCUUGAAGAGUGCAACUGAAUUACUGAACACCCACACUUCCACUCCCAGCAAUUAUAAAUUAUUCUCCAAAAAUAAUCAUAAGAUGUAACAAUCAUAGAAAAAUUACAAAUAAAAUAUCAGAAAAAGUGAAAUUAAUUUUGUCAUAAACUUGCUAAAUGACAGAGGUUUCCAAAUGUCCUAUGAAUUAUUAAAAUUUCCCCCUUUUUACAAGUAUCACUUGGGGUGGGGAGCCCAAAUGGAUUUCUGUAAAGGCAAUAAUAUUUUGCAAGAUACCAUGUGUGGUAACUUUGAAGUAUAUAUCAAUUAGUGACACAGACAAUGAAAUGUGUAUCUCCUCUCCAAAUGUAGUCAAGGACCUUAAGAAUUAUAUACUUAUAUUGAAAGUAUUAAACUGUAUUUGUCAGCUGUUGUCCUAAACUUAUAUCU